rnacentral:tRNA from 1 species
GUUUUUGUAGUUGAAAACAACAUUGGUUUUUCAAGCCAAAGGUCUUGGUUAAAAUCCAGGUGGAAACU